UACGGAGGGUGCGAGCGUUGUCCGGAAUCACUGGGCGUAAAGGGCGCGUAGGUGGCUCGUGAAGCGUGCGGUGAAAGUCCGAGGCUCAACCUCGGAUCGGCCGUGCGGACUCGCGGGCUUGAGCACUGUAGAGGCUAAUGGAAUUCCGGGUGUAGCGGUGGAAUGCGUAGAGAUCCGGAAGAACACCGGUGGCGAAGGCGGUUAGCUGGGCAGUUGCUGGACACUGAGGCGCGACAGCGUGGGGAGCAAACAGGG
rnacentral:rRNA from 1 species